GCCUGGGUGGCUCAGUCGGUUAAGCAUCUGACUUCAGCUCAGGUGAUGUUCUCAGGGUUCGUGAGUUCGAGCCCCGCGUCAGGCU
rnacentral:tRNA from 1 species